UACAGAGGGGGCAAGCGUUGUUCGGAAUUACUGGGCGUAAAGGGCUCGUAGGCGGCCAACUAAGUCGGAUGUGAAAUCCCCAAGCUUAACUUGGGAACUGCAUCCGAUACUGGAUGGCUUGAAUCCGGGAGAGGGAUGCAGAAUUCCAGGUGUAGCGGUGAAAUGCGUAGAUAUCUGGAGGAAUACCGGUGGCGAAGGCGGCAUCCUGGACCGGCAUUGACGCUGAGGAGCGAAAGCGUGGGGAGCAAACAGG
rnacentral:rRNA from 1 species